rnacentral:tRNA from 2 species
GCCGAUGUAGCUCAGUUGGUAGAGCGCGUCCUUGGUAAGGACGAGGUCACCGGUUCAAUUCCGGUCAUCGGCUCCA